CACAUGCGAGUCGAACGGGCGUAGCAAUACAUCAGUGGCAGACGGGUGAGUAACACGUGGGAACGUACCUUUUGGUUCGGAACAACUGAGGGAAACUUCAGCUAAUACCGGAUAAGCCCUUACGGGGAAAGAUUUAUCGCCGAAAGAUCGGCCCGCGUCUGAUCAGCUAGUUGGUGAGGUAAUGGCUCACCAAGGCGACGAUCAGUAGCUGGUCUGAGAGGAUGAUCAGCCACAUUGGGACUGAGACACGGCCCAAACUCCUACGGGAGGCAGCAGUGGGGAAUAUUGGACAAUGGGCGCAAGCCUGAUCCAGCCAUGCCGCGUGAGUGAUGAAGGCCCUAGGGUUGUAAAGCUCUUUUGUGCGGGAAGAUAAUGACGGUACCGCAAGAAUAAGCCCCGGCUAACUUCGUGCCAGCAGCCGCGGUAAUACGAAGGGGGCUAGCGUUGCUCGGAAUCACUGGGCGUAAAGGGUGCGUAGGCGGGUUUCUAAGUCAGAGGUGAAAGCCUGGAGCUCAACUCCAGAACUGCCUUUGAUACUGGAAGUCUUGAGUAUGGGAGAGGUGAGUGGAACUGCGAGUGUAGAGGUGAAAUUCGUAGAUAUUCGCAAGAACACCAGUGGCGAAGGCGGCUCACUGGCCCAUAACUGACGCUGAGGCACGAAAGCGUGGGGAGCAAACAGG
rnacentral:rRNA from 1 species